rnacentral:rRNA from 1 species
CCUACGGGCGGCAGCAGUAGGGAAUAUUGCUCAAUGGGGGCAACCCUGAAGCAGCAACGCCGCGUGGAGGAUGAAGGUUUUCGGAUUGUAAACUCCUUUUGUUAGAGAAGAUAAUUACGGUAUCUAACGAGUAUGCACCGGCUAACUCCGUGCUAGCAGCCGCAGUAAUACGGCAGGUGCAACCGUUACUCGGAAUCACUGGGCGUAAGGAGCGCGUAGGCGGGAUAGCAAGUCAGAUGUGAAAUCCUAUGGCUUAACCAUAGAACUGCAUUGGAAACUGUGAGGCUAGAGUAUGGGAGAGGUAGGGGGAAUUCUUGGUGUAGGGGUAAAAUCCGUAGAGAUCAAGAGGAAUACUCAUUGCGAAGGCGACCUGCUAGAACAUAACUGACGCUGAGGCGCGAAAGCGUGGGGAGCAAACAGGAUUAGAUACCCGUGUAGUC